rnacentral:rRNA from 1 species
GACGAACGCUGGCGGCGUGCUUAACACAUGCAAGUCGAACGAUGAAGCUCUUCGGAGUGGAUUAGUGGCGAACGGGUGAGUAACACGUGGGAAAUCUGCCCUGCACUCUGGGACAAGCCUUGGAAACGAGGUCUAAUACCGGAUAUGACCUUCCUCUGCAUGGGGGUUGGUGGAAAGCUCCGGCGGUGCAGGAUGGUCCCGCGGCCUAUCAGCUUGUUGGUGGGGUAAUGGCCUACCAAGGCGACGACGGGUAGCCGGCCUGAGAGGGCGACCGGCCACACUGGGACUGAGACACGGCCCAGACUCCUACGGGAGGCAGCAGUGGGGAAUAUUGCACAAUGGGCGAAAGCCUGAUGCAGCGACGCCGCGUGAGGGAUGACGGCCUUCGGGUUGUAAACCUCUUUCAGCAGGGAAGAAGCGCAAGUGACGGUACCUGCAGAAGAAGCACCGGCUAACUACGUGCCAGCAGCCGCGGUAAUACGUAGGGUGCGAGCGUUGUCCGGAAUUAUUGGGCGUAAAGAGCUCGUAGGCGGCUUGUCGCGUCGAGUGUGAAAGCCCGGGGCUUAACCCCGGGUCUGCAUUCGAUACGGGCAGGCUUGAGUGUGGUAGGGGAGAUCGGAAUUCCUGGUGUAGCGGUGAAAUCGCGCAUGAUAUCAGGAGGAACACCGGUGGCGAAGGCGGAUCUCUGGGCCAUUACUGACGCUAGGAGCGAAAGCGUGGGG